AAAAAAUGCUACGAAUUUUUAGAAAUUCAUAGUGCAAAUGUUUUUUGGGUCGCUGAUUCCGAAAAAAAAAACAAAAAUGCAAAAUUCGAAAUGGCGGACGUUAAAUGGCGGAUGUUUUUCGCGAAAAAUGAUAUCAAUUCGCUGAAAUUCAUACUGGUAAUGUUUUUGGGGUCGCCGAUUCCGAAAACGAAUGUAAAAAUGCGAAAUUCAAAAUGGUGGACCGAAAAUGGCGGGAAUAUUUCGUGAAAAAUGCUUUACCUCGGAUGAUAACUUUCGGUUUUGGGGGUUUUGGCCAAGAAUUCGGGCUUUCGGACCACUGUGCGCCG